ACAUUAUAGUUGCGCAGGCCUUUUAGUGACUCUAGAGAACCUCGGGCCAAUCGUACGUCCCCGUGAUGGUGACUUUGCAUUCGGAUGUCUGCCCUAUCAACUUUUGAUGCCACUUUCUGCGCCAAACAUGGUGACCACGGGUAAUGGGGAAUCAAGGUUCGAUUCCAGAGAGGGAGCCUGAGAAAUGGCUACCACAUCCAAGGAAGGCAGCAGGCGUGCAAUUUACCCACUCCCGAGGUAAGU